UUUGGUUUGAAAGGUGAGAUUAAAAGCUAAAAAAAAAUAAACUAGAGGGCAACUAAAUUUUUUUAAUUGGAGGGUAAUUGAAAAAAAAAUAACUAAAAAAAAGAAUAAAAAAAAAGAAAUCCAAAGAAUAAAAACCAAAUAAAAAAUAUAUGAAAAAUUGAAAUUGAAGUACUAAAUCGAAAAGAAAUAACAUCUAUACAAAAGGGCAAAUGAUGA
rnacentral:lncRNA from 1 species